rnacentral:rRNA from 1 species
UACGUAGGGACCGAGCGUUGUCCGGAUUCAUUGGGCGUAAAGAGCGUGUAGGCGGCCAGGUAGGUCUGGUGUGAAAACUCGAGGCUUAACCUCGAGAUGUCAUCGGAAACCAUCUGGCUAGAGUCCGGAAGAGGAGAGUGGAAUUCCUGGUGUAGCGGUGAAAUGCGCAGAUAUCAGGAAGAACACCAAUGGCGAAAGCAGCUCUCUGGGACGGUACUGACGCUGAGACGCGAAAGCGUGGGGAGCGAACAGG